CAAGAGAAAAUUUUGGAAUUUCAAGGAAUCAAGUGACAAAAGGUGGUGAGUUUUCUAACAAGGGUAAAGACAUUGUGCCAGAGGACCAAGAAUAAGAGUAUUUCGAACUCUCGAUAUUGCUGGGUAGUAACAUAAUUGCCAUGUCAUGCUGCCGAAACUUUUAUUGUUUUGGUGGGAUAUUGAUUAGUCACUGCAGUGGUGGGUUUUAGUGGACCAGCCCAUUAGAGAUGGGCACGGUAAACCCGGUUAUAUUUUACCUCGAUACGAGAGGCACGGAAGGUAUCUCCUAAGGUAAAGCUUUAGAG